CAGUACCGUGAGGGAAAGGCGAAAAGAACCCCGGCGAGGGGAGUGAAAAAGAACCUGAAACCGUGUACGUACAAGCAGUGGGAGCCUCUUUAUGGGGUGACUGCGUACCUUUUGUAUAAUGGGUCAGCGACUUAUAUUCUGUAGCAAGGUUAACCGAAUAGGGGAGCCGAAGGGAAACCGAGUCUUAACUGGGCGUUAAGUUGCAGGGUAUAGACCCGAAACCCGGUGAUCUAGCCAUGGGCAGGUUGAAGGUUGGGUAACACUAACUGGAGGACCGAACCGACUAAUGUUGAAAAAUUAGCGGAUGACUUGUGGCUGGGGGUGAAAGGCCAAUCAAACCGGGAGAUAGCUGGUUCUCCCCGAAAGCUAUUUAGGUAGCGCCUCGUGAAUUCAUCUCCGGGGGUAGAGCACUGUUUCGGCAAGGGGGUCAUCCCGACUUACCAACCCGAUGCAAACUGCGAAUACCGGAGAAUGUUAUCACGGGAGACACACGGCGGGUGCUAACGUCCGUCGUGAAGAGGGAAACAACCCAGACCGCCAGCUAAGGUCCCAAAGUCAUGGUUAAGUGGGAAACGAUGUGGGAAGGCCCAGACAGCCAGGAUGUUGGCUUAGAAGCAGCCAUCAUUUAAAGAAAGCGUAAUAGCUCACUGGUCGAGUCGGCCUGCGCGGAAGAUGUAACGGGGCUAAACCAUGCACCGAAGCUGCGGCAGCGACACUAUGUGUUGUUGGGUAGGGGAGCGUUCUGUAAGCCUGUGAAGGUGUGCUGUGAGGUAUGCUGGAGGUAUCAGAAGUGCGAAUGCUGACAUAAGUAACGAUAAAGCGGGUGAAAAGCCCGCUCGCCGGAAGACCAAGGGUUCCUGUCCAACGUUAAUCGGGGCAGGGUGAGUCGACCCCUAAGGCGAGGCCGAAAGGCGUAGUCGAUGGGAAACAGGUUAAUAUUCCUGUACUUGGUGUUACUGCGAAGGGGGGACGGAGAAGGCUAUGUUGGCCGGGCGACGGUUGUCCCGGUUUAAGCGUGUAGGCUGGUUUUCCAGGCAAAUCCGGAAAAUCAAGGCUGAGGCGUGAUGACGAGGCACUACGGUGCUGAAGCAACAAAUGCCCUGCUUCCAGGAAAAGCCUCUAAGCAUCAGGUAACAUCAAAUCGUACCCCAAACCGACACAGGUGGUCAGGUAGAGAAUACCAAGGCGCUUGAGAGAACUCGGGUGAAGGAACUAGGCAAAAUGGUGCCGUAACUUCGGGAGAAGGCACGCUGAUAUGUAGGUGAAGCGACUUGCUCGUGGAGCUGAAAUCAGUCGAAGAUACCAGCUGGCUGCAACUGUUUAUUAAAAACACAGCACUGUGCAAACACGAAAGUGGACGUAUACGGUGUGACGCCUGCCCGGUGCCGGAAGGUUAAUUGAUGGGGUUAGCGGUAACGCGAAGCUCUUGAUCGAAGCCCCGGUAAACGGCGGCCGUAACUAUAACGGUCCUAAGGUAGCGAAAUUCCUUGUCGGGUAAGUUCCGACCUGCACGAAUGGCGUAAUGAUGGCCAGGCUGUCUCCACCCGAGACUCAGUGAAAUUGAACUCGCUGUGAAGAUGCAGUGUACCCGCGGCAAGACGGAAAGACCCCGUGAACCUUUACUAUAGCUUGACACUGAACAUUGAGCCUUGAUGUGUAGGAUAGGUGGGAGGCUUUGAAGUGUGGACGCCAGUCUGCAUGGAGCCGGCCUUGAAAUACCACCCUUUAAUGUUUGAUGUUCUAACGUUGGCCCCUGAUCGGGGUUGCGGACAGUGUCUGGUGGGUAGUUUGACUGGGGCGGUCUCCUCCUAAAGAGUAACGGAGGAGCACGAAGGUUGGCUAAUCCUGGUCGGACAUCAGGAGGUUAGUGCAAUGGCAUAAGCCAGCUUGACUGCGAGCGUGACGGCGCGAGCAGGUGCGAAAGCAGGUCAUAGUGAUCCGGUGGUUCUGAAUGGAAGGGC
rnacentral:rRNA from 1 species